rnacentral:rRNA from 1 species
AGAAUCAACGCUGGCGGCGUGCCUAACACAUGCAAGUCGAACGAGAAAGUGGGAGCAAUCCCACGAGUAAAGUGGCGCACGGGUGAGUAACACGUGACUAACCUACCCUUGAGUGGGGGAUAACCUAGGGAAACCUGGGCUAAUACCGCAUAAUACCUACGGGUCAAAGGAGCAAUUCGCUUUAGGAGGGGGUCGCGGCAGAUUAGUUAGUUGGCGGGGUAAUGGCCCACCAAGACAGUGAUCUGUAUCCGGCCUGAGAGGGCGCACGGACACACUGGAACUGAAACACGGUCCAGACUCCUACGGGAGGCAGCAGUGGGGAAUUUUGCGCAAUGGGGGAAACCCUGACGCAGCAACGCCGCGUGGAGGAUGAAGCCCCUUGGGGCGUAAACUCCUUUCGAUCGGGAAGAUAAUGACGGUACCGGAAGAAGAACGCCCGGCUAACUUCGCGCCAGCAGCCGC